AACCGAGUCUUAACCGGGCGUUAAGUUGCAGGGUAUAGACCCGAAACCCGGUGAUCUAGCCAUGGGCAGGUUGAAGGUUGGGUAACACUAACUGGAGGACCGAACCGACUAAUGUUGAAAAAUUAGCGGAUGACCUGUGGCUGGGGGUGAAAGGCCAAUCAAACCGGGAGAUAGCUGGUUCUCCCCGAAAGCUAUUUAGGUAGCGCCUCGUGAAUUCAUCUCCGGGGGUAGAGCACUGUUUCGGCCAGGGGGCCAUCCCGGCUUACCAAUCCGAUGCAAACUGCGAAUACCGGAGAAUGUUAUCACGGGAGACACACGGCGGGUGCUAACGUCCGUCGUGAAGAGGGAAACAACCCAGACCGCCAGCUAAGGUCCCAAAGUCAUGGUUAAGUGGGAAACGAUGUGGGAAGGCCCAGACAGCCAGGAUGUUGGCUUAGAAGCAGCCAUCAUUUAAAGAAAGCGUAAUAGCUCACUGGUCGAGUCGGCCUGCGCGGAAGAUGUAACGGGGCUAAACCAU
rnacentral:rRNA from 1 species